GGCACCUGUGUGCAGGAGCCUGAGGAAGCCCAGAGACAAUGUCAGAUCUCCUGGAGCUUAGAGGUUCGGAUGGCUGUGAACUGUCCAAGGAAGAAACUCGGGGACCCUCUUCCUGAGGAAUUCCACUCGCAAGCUUCGGUCUGUUUGGAGGCUCCCUAGAGGGCUAACAUCAAGGGCGUGUGCUUUCCUCAUCUAUCUCACAACACUCAGGAGAAAAAAGUGACUCCAUCUGGGAGAGUCCUUGGAAACAUCUGAAGGCAACCACAUGCCAGGGAGGAAAGCCCAGGAAAGAAAAGCGAAUGGAGGAGUACAUGACUGCAACCCAGUGACGUGUGCUCUGGAGGCAGAAGCAAGAGGAUCGUGGAUAGCUGUAGUAGUUAGUGCGUUCACAGGACUGAGUGGAACCUCGACAUUUAAACGCCUAAUCUUUUCCUUUCAUCUUUGGCACCAAUGAACUGGAUUUCCCCAGGCAACAGUCUGUCAUUGGAGGAGUAGGAGCAGGAACCCGAUGAAGAAACCUGGAGGUGUACCUUGCUGCAACAAACACCGAAGAGCAAAGUGGAAAACACUUCCUGAAACAAAAGGCUGAAAACAGUCUCCCGGCUGCAGCAGCACAGGCAGAUGACUUGCAACUGAUCCAGUCAUGGCUGAUCCAGCUUGCUCCUGACCGAUAAACUCAGCCUCGGCACGUGUAAGAACAGCUGGAGGGUUAGGGCCUGCCCGCUCUAUUAGCUACGUUUGUUUCGCUUUCUCUUAACAUUACUCUGCCUCAUCUGACCUACCUAGCCCACCUUUACCCCAUGAGGAUUAGUACUAUCCUGGCUUAAAUGAGAAAUGCUCCCCGUAGGCUCAUGCUUUGAGCAGUUGGUUCUCGCCGGGUGGUGCUCUUCGGAGAGAUUGU
rnacentral:sRNA from 1 species